rnacentral:rRNA from 1 species
UACGGAGGGGGCUAGCGUUGUUCGGAAUUACUGGGCGUAAAGCGCGUGUAGGCGGCUUUGCAAGUCGGGUGUGAAAUCCCACGGCUCAACCGUGGAAGUGCACUCGAAACUGCAAGGCUAGAGUCCUGGAGAGGAAGGUGGAAUGCUUGGUGUAGAGGUGAAAUUCGUAGAUAUCAAGCGGAACACCGGUGGCGAAGGCGGCCUUCUGGACAGUGACUGACGCUGAGACGCGAAAGCGUGGGGAGCAAACAGG